rnacentral:misc_RNA from 1 species
AAGGGUCCCCCUGAUGAGAACCCCUCAAACCUCCCCGCCUUUGAGUUAGGAGGUUCCCCAGUGGAACCCUCGCCCUUCAGGGCGGGGAGGAGGUCAGCUCCAGUACGGCU